rnacentral:rRNA from 1 species
GAUUAACGCUGGCGGCGUGCAUAACACAUGCAAGUCGAACGAUGAAACUUAAAUGAUUUCUUCGGAAUGAACUUAAGUGGAUUAGUGGCGGACGGGUGAGUAACGCGUGAGUAACCUGCCUUACACAAGGGGAUAGCCGUUGGAAACGACGAAUAAUACCCUACGAAACUAUCACUUCGCAUGAAGCGAUAGUCAAAGUGUUAGCGGUGUAAGAUGGACUUGCGUCUGAUUAGCUAGUUGGUGAGAAAAAAGCCCACCAAGGCAACGAUCAGUAGCCGGCUUGAGAGAGUGUACGGCCACAUUGGGACUGAGGCACGGCCCAGACUCCUACGGGAGGCAGCAGUGGGGAAUUUUGCACAAUGGGGGAAACCCUGAUGCAGCGACGCCGCGUGAUUUAGAAGGCCUUCGGGUUGUAAAAAUCUUUUGUAUAGGAAGAAAAUGACAGUACUAUACGAAUAAGGUCCGGCUAAUUACGUG